CAAACCUGGAGGCUAUUCAGUCAGUCACUGGGCUGUGCCAGGAUUCGCGGACUUUCUCCUGAGCAGCGCUCUCAGUUAGCGUCUUCCGCCUGCCACUCUCGCACGCCCCCAGAGUACCCACCGAUCCCAGCAGGCCGGGUACUCCCGGCCGCGCGCAUCCGGCCAGUGGCUCCAGGGGCGGGCCUGGUAUGUCUCCAGCUGGGCGCCCGCCGCCCGCCCCAGCGCUAGUUCUGGCGUUGAGGGGAGAGAGGUAAGGAGGGGAGUUGGCGGGGCAUCUCCCUCCCAGGGCUGAGCUGGCAAGUGCAUCUUCUCUGCGAGUUCCUCACUGUCCAGCGAGCGCUGCCCAACUUCUGCGCCGGUGGGACCCGCUGCUCUGAGUAGCUCUUGGCACGGAAGACCAAGCACCCUCAGAAACCGCAUUUACCACGUUUGUGAGGCUCCUGAGAGAAGCAGCCAUCUCCCCCAAAGGGAAAGCCUUAGGCGUCCCGGAAGACCCCGCGGACUGUGCACCUCGAGGUACCAGCCUCUCCUAGGAGGAGUAGGGGGCCGCUGGUCAGCGGCUGGCAGAGGGGACCUGUUUGCUGGCCCGUUUGGACGUGGGAUGGGGUGGGGUUUGGAGACUGAGAAGCUCAAGAGAAGACACUGAGUUUCUCCCCACCCCCCAACUCCACUUCCGAUAAAGAACCAGGUGGCGAGGAGGAAUAAGGCGACGUGUAAACACAAACAACCUCAAAAAGAAGCCAAGAAAAGCGAAGCCCAAAGAAGCAAGAGCAACACUGUUACAAAACUGUCUGGUUUUGUAACAAUUUCCCCGCCGCCGGCCAAUGAGCAGCGUGGCGGCAGGUCACGUGGUACCGUUUUAUAUAACACUUUGCUGAGACAAGACAGUUAUUAGGCGGCGCGGGGCGCCCGGCAUGGAGCUCCCGGAGGCGCGGCAGGGUCCGGAGCUCGGUGGCACGGCGGCGGUGGCUGCCCCGAUUUCCUCCAGCUGCCACUCUUUGCUUCGUGUCCCCAGUCCCUAGACGCCUCUUCC
rnacentral:lncRNA from 1 species